AUGGUGCUUCCUAAGGAGAUGGGGUCUCUUAGAGGGGACUUGGCGAUGCCGACUGCGACCUCAUUGUCUUCAUUGGAGCCGAGUCAGGUGCUCACCUUUGUGGACCUUGGAGGUUUGGCGGUUGCUGUUGCUGCUCUCUCACCUGAGGUUGUUGGCCCGGUGGCAUUUGUUGGUGCUGAGGUUGAUGAGGUAGGUGGUUUUGCACCUGUUGCUGAGGCGCCGAAGCCCGUCCGGUCUCCCAUCUUUGACCGUGAUGCUAUGUUGGCAUGCAUUGACGAGGUGGUCUUCAUGAAAAGGCUUGGCCGCUUGCUCACCGGCUUGGAUGCAGCUUGUCCUAGGUCUGCCAAGACGAUUGCUUGCCUCCUAGCGGAGGAGGUUUCUACGGGCAAAAUGAAGAAGGUGAAGAAGGUUAUCAGGAACAUAGGCAAGAAGAGUGACGUCAGUAGGAAGGCGUCCGCGGCUGCUUAA
rnacentral:rRNA from 1 species